UACGGGGGGGGGCAAGCGUUGUUCGGAAUUACUGGGCGUAAAGGGCUCGUAGGCGGCCAAUUAAGUCAGACGUGAAAUCCCUCGGCUUAACCGGGGAACUGCGUCUGAUACUGGUUGGCUUGAAUCCGGGAGAGGGAUGUGGAAUUCCAGGUGUAGCGGUGAAAUGCGUAGAUAUCUGGAGGAACACCGGUGGCGAAGGCGGCAUCCUGGACCGGUAUUGACGCUGAGGAGCGAAAGCCAGGGGAGCAAACGGG
rnacentral:rRNA from 1 species